GAUGUGUGUGGGGUUCGGAGCGGCGCCGGCACAGCCGAAGGGAGCGGGCGAGCGGCGACGGCGGCGGCGGGCACAGAUUAAUUAAAAGAAGAAUGAACUAUAAUCCUUGAAGAUAACUGGGCAAUUUUUUAAGUCGGAGGCUGUUCUUACUGGUGUGAGGAUUUACACACGUCUUCAGUUUUUCAGCACAGACCAGCAUACCAUCAUUUUUAGAGGAAGUACUCCCUCUGCCCUCCUUUUUGGUUUCCUUGGUGGUAAAGAUUAAAUUUGGUUGCAUCAUUUUGACUUGUGUUUGAGUCUAGAUUUUAUGGCACAAGGAAUGGCAUAAACUUUUCAUGUGUUUUGCUUAAAACAAACCAGACCAUUGCAUUGACCCUGGACAUCUUUAAUUGAGAAAUUGGUAACUUUAUUUUAAUAUGUAUAUCUGAAGAAUUCAAGAAAACAAAGCCAUCCUCAGAGGUGUGCCUCUUUUCUUUAUUAUUAGAGGCAAAACGAACAAUUUUAUAGGAUUUGUAGUGAAAUUAUACCAAAUUAUAAGGAGAACCAAAACUAAGUCGCAAAAUUUAUUAAUUUAAGGGGAUCUCGCUUUGAA
rnacentral:sRNA from 1 species